AUACGUAGGUGGCAAGCGUUGUCCGGAAUUAUUGGGCGUAAAGCGCGCGCAGGCGGCUUCUUAAGUCUGAUGUGAAAGCCCACGGCUCAACCGUGGAGGGUCAUUGGAAACUGGGAGGCUUGAGUGCAGAAGAGAAGAGCGGAAUUCCACGUGUAGCGGUGAAAUGCGUAGAGAUGUGGAGGAACACCAGUGGCGAAGGCGGCUCUUUGGUCUGUAACUGACGCUGAGGCGCGAAAGCGUGGGGAGAGAACAGGAUUAGAUACCCUGGUAUUCCACGCCGUAAACGAUGAGUGCUAAGUGUUAGGGGGUUUCCGCCCCUUAGUGCUGCAGCAAACGCAUUAAGCACUCCGCCUGGGGAGUACGGCCGCAAGGCUGAA
rnacentral:rRNA from 1 species